GUGAAUCAUCGAAUCUUUGAACGCAAAUUGCACUCUCUUCUGUUAGUAUGCGUGUUUGAGUUUCAGCCUAAAAAAAAUCGACAUCGUUGCUGUUUCGCGGUGGCGGUCGUCGGAAAUUGGGUCAUCUUGAGUCUUUUGGUUUUAAGCGACUUAAAAUUUUCUUUUUGUUUCCAUGAACGUUUCUAAGAUUUAUUUCUGUACACGUUGAGGGGAUCGAUUGUUAUUAGACGUGACCAUCAUAUCUGAUCUCGCCCCUAGUCUUUCAUUAACUU
rnacentral:misc_RNA from 1 species